rnacentral:lncRNA from 1 species
CGGGACAUCAUUGCCCAAUAAGCGCUGACCGAGUUGCCAAAAGAAAAAGAAAAGGCAGCAUUUUCAAGGAUAUACCGUAAUAGGACAAUUCACCUGGUUAUGAAUAGGGCUUGAGAAUUGCAAGAAGCGAACUUGUUGCCUGACUAGUUUAUUGCUUAGAGUAGAGGCUUUAGGCCUACUUACGCUUGAAUCUGGCAGAGAGGCCACAGCUUAUCCAGAUUACACACUGGGAUCGCCCAACCCAAACACAUUGUACACCUGGAGACAUCUUCCAGUUUGACAGAGAGCUGCUGACUUGAAUGUUUCUGUCGGCACGGCCCCAAGCCCCAACCGACAAAAAUGCUUCCGAAACUUCAUUCACCGGAAUUCUUCUUAUCAGGAACUUACAGGCUGUUUUCCGAAGUGGCUGCACCAUUUAAAAUUCCCAUCUAAUGUAGAGUGCCCCGCCUCCUGCAGGUAACAAAGGAUCAGGGCGUUCUCUGUGAAAUAACUGCAGAAUAUGAACUGAUGCUGCUGGCAUUUCCCUUGGAGUUUUACUGCAGCUGUCAGUAUUCCGAAUUCCGGAUGACUCGGUUACUUACAAGAUUGGAUUUCUUAUCCUGCAAAGCUGAGGUGAAGGCCAGACCCUAGAAAAACAGAAAAUUCAUCAAGGCUCAGUUCAAGAACCACCCCCUCCAAGUUGUCUUCCUGGAUUUAUUCAGCCCAAAGUUAUCCUUGUCUUUCCUGGGACAUGUCAGCAUUCUGGACAGAAGAAACCAACAAGCAAUGGAGAGGCCACAUCAAGCAGCUAGAAUCUCUGCAGCCCAGUGUUCUGUUUGAUGGGCUUCUAGGGGCUGUUCAAAGGGAGAUACCAGCAGCCUGGAAAUUCCAAAUGGAAGGCAAUGAUCAUGGGCAGUUGAUGCCUUCUCCAGGGUGGUGACAGUGGUGUUUUUGCCAGAGCAGCACCAACGGAUCCCUCAAGACUUUGUUAUGGAUUUUGUCUCUGGGAACACAGACUCUGCUUUUCAAGAUGAUUCUCUCUCUACCAUUGUAUUGGUUCCUCCUCCUGGGCUCAGCAGCCUGGAAAUAGAAACAGCAGUGGUGGCUGAUUGUCUUGAUCCAGACGGAAGUUGUGUGGCAGGAGAUAUUUCAGACCUAAAGAAGAUAUGUAAAACAUUAUAAUAAAUUCCCAUGUGCCCACAACUCAGCUUAAGAAAUAAAAUAUUACAGAUACAGUUGAAGCCCCCUGUGUACCCACACAUUAUAGUUCUUCUCUUUUCCUAACACUGCCUCCUUUUGACUGACAGCCUUCAAAGAUACCCUCAAUGAACCCCAUCUUCUGGUAUUCAUGCCCUCCCCUCAAGUGUGGGCUGGACUUAGUGACUUGAUUCUAAUGAAUAGAAUGUGAUAAGGUGAUGAGAUGUCACUUCUGUGAUUAGGUUACAAAAGAUUGUGACUUCCAUCCUGCUGGCACUCUCUCUUGCCCUCUCACUUGCUCUGAUGAAGCCUGCUACCAUGUUGUGAGAUACUUUAUGGGGAGACCCACAUGGCAAAGAUUCAAGGGAGGCCUCCAGCCAACAGCUUAUGAGGAAUUAAUCCUUAGUCCAACAGCCUGGGAAAAACUGAAUCCUGCCAACAACUAUGUGAGUGAACUUGGAAGUAGGUCCUCCCCAUUAGAGCCUUCAGAAAAGACUGCAUCCCUGGCCAACACCUUGAUUGCAGCCUUGUUAAAGGCCCUGAAGCAGAAGACCCAGCUAAGCCAUGCUUGGAUUCCUGAAAAUGUAUGUUUUAAGCAGCUAAGUUUGGGGGUAAUUUGUUAUACCACAUGAUAACUAAUACACCUUCUGAGACGUAACCACUAUCCUAAAUGUGCUGUCAUUCCUGUACAUGUCUUUAUAUAUAUGCUACAUUUGUAUGCAUCAUUCCCAUGCAUGCCUACACACACACACAUGCACACACUCAC